UAUUAUUAUUAUUAUUAUUAUUAUUAUUAUUAUUAUUAUUACUAUCAUCAUCAUCAUCAUCAUCAUUAUUAUAAUUAUUAUUCUUAGAUAUAUGUAUAUAUAUAUAUCUUCGUAGCUUCCUAACGUCACACAUGAGUCACACAUGUAUCGACAAAUGCAAAAAAGAAGAUACAAUUAGCAAGAGAGAAAACAGUGAAGGUCGAUUGAUAGCGUAUGAAAAACAACGUUCUUUCAUUUUGUAAAUGUUGCUACAAAAUGGUAUUUCGAUUAAUUUCAUUGCAUUUUAAUACCUUUUAAUGUGUGUUAUAUAUAUAUAUAUAUAUAUAUAUAUAUACACGAAAUUCCAAAUCCAAAAAAUACAUUCGGUUUUCUCUCUUUUUAUUUCUUCUUUUUCUUCCAUUUUUUUUCAUCUCAUGUCUUAUUCGCUUUUAUUUUUAUAUAAAUAAUAUUUAAUAUAUCAUUGCUCUCGAAAACAUUUAAUAUGUUUUUUUAUAAAUAUUUAUUUCUCGUUAGGUCACAUAGUUCUUAGAGAAAUGAUUCUGAUUGGAACAUUUGUUUUUUUCUUAAUUUUAUUGAAGUAACAAAUAAGUAUGUCCGCUUAGUAUCGUUGGUCUCUUAUUUAUAAUAAAAAUAAACAUGUGAAUCGUAUAAUCGCUUGGUGCCUCUUCAAAAAGUGUUUCUCUUUUUGUGUUCGCGCGUAUCUUGUGAAACAUAAAGCAUCGAUUGCUUCUUCCAGUGUUUAAAAAAAAAAAAAAAAAAAAAAAAAAAGAAAAGAAAAGAAAAAACAAUGAAUCACGUGGUAUAUGUCAAUUGAUUGCUAAUUUUUAAGUAUUAUAACAGCGAUGAGUUAUAACUCUAGCAUAAUAUAAUCGAUUAACGUAUUAAGAAAUAAUUUUUAAGAUGACGUUGAGGAUAAGAAGCAUGAUGCUUCGUAACGGCUGACGUAUGGAACUGAUUAUCUAUUUAACUUUAAUGUAUUGUUUAAGUAUAAUCAUAAUGAAAUUUGUUCGUAUAUGUCGACAAAUAAGUCUUUUGUUCCGUAGAAAAGUAUAAUUAAGUCCAAUAAAUCUGUCGCACUACGUACUUGGACGCUUCAAAAAGAAUUUUAUAUUGACGCGUUCAUAAAUAUUCUUGUUAGAAAAUUAUUUUGAUUUUUAACAAGAAAGAAAACCUUAAUAUACUUGCUAAAGGAAAAAGAAAAGAGAGAGAAAGAUAUGUAUGUAUCGAAAUCUUCAUUUCGAGAAUGAAAUUAGUGCAAUAUUGUUAUAAUUUGUACGGACACAAAAUAUAUAGUGCGAUUAAUAAGUUAUUUCGAAUUUUUCGAAUAUUGCGAAAGUAAUUUAUUUGAUCUGAUGUUAUCAUAAUAAUUUAAUUAUUUAAAUUUUAUUCACGAUAAUUUGGAUAAAAAAUAAAACAAAACCGAUUCCAAAUAAUAAUAAUAAUAUAUUAUUUAAAAUAGAGAAUGAGACAAUAAACAAUGAUAAGACAUUCACAUUGAUGUGUUUUAAAUUGUUAUUUUGAAAGUCGAUUAACUUUCAAAAAAAGAAUUUUUAUUUCUACUUUUAUGAAAUAUUGAAUACAAUAAUUAAUGUAUUUAUUAAUGUUUUUACAUUUUUUAUAAUAAUACUUUUAUCUUUUUUUCAUAUAAAUUAGAUACAGUUUUUUCAUUUAAUAUUUUUCGGAACUUCAUUUUCGAAAAGUAGUAAAAACAUACACAUCGCUCUGUAAAUGUUAUUAAAUAAAAACAAUCAGGUCAUUACAUGAGUCCUAUUAAGUAAUAUCACAUAUACAUAUAGCAUAUAUUCAUCUGUAUCUUUAGAAAAAAUUGUUCAUUAUAAUGUUAAAUAAAAAUAUUACAUGUACACUAGCAUGUCUGUCAUUCAAGACUACUACUCUUAUCAAAAUAACAUUCUCAUAAAUAAAACAUCUCAAUUAUUAUCUAGUUAAUAUAUUAAAGAAUUAUAUGCAAUUCUUUUUACGAAUCGAAAAUAUUAGAAUAUAUUUUACGUUUAUAUUGAUUUUAUCAUUGAUCAUUAAAUAAACAUUGAAACAUUUAGUUUUUUUUUAUUUUCUUAGUUUUAUAUAUAGAUUUUAUAAAAGUUUUAUUUUUUACUCUCUCAGUCUUUUAAAAACACUUAAUCUUUCUAAAUGCUAAAUACAAUGUAAAUAUAAUUACCAAAUCAGAUGAUAAUAAAACUUUUAUUUCGUUCAUUCCUAUAACGCAGAUAGUACAAGCGAUCAAUUCUUAUUGAAAUGUAUUCUUUUUUAAUACCACUCUAAGUUUGCAGAUGGCGAUAAAUGUGUUUUUCACACUUGUACCUAGUUCCUGUAUUGUAUUAAUUUUGAACUCUAUAUUUUAUAUAUAUUAUUUUUAUAUUUUAUAAAUGAGCUCCUUUUUUGUAAUAAAAAUCUAAUACAAAGUAUAAAUUCUAGAGUGAAAUUUGUCCUUGUUAUUGCUUCUAUUUAUUCCCUAAAGAGAUUCAACAUAAUGUAAAUUUACUAUAUUAUUUGGUAUCAGUGGUAUACGUUUCUUUUCGUCCUCCUGAAAUACGGUGAAUAGAUGUUGUAUUAUCAACGAAUUCUUAUUUAACUCAUAAAAUGGGUUUUGUGAAAGUUGUUAAAAAUAAACAAUACUUUAAAUUUUAUCAAGUCAAAUUCAAGAGGCGCCAUGAAAGUAAAACUGAUUAUUAUACACGUAAAUGAUUGACCAUCGAAGACAAGAAUAAGUGAAAUACUUCUAAAUACAGUUUCCUUAUUCAAGGAUUAAAAGAGUUAAGAUUGUCUGUACUUUCUAUAGUUAUGAACUUCCAAGAAAUGUAAUUAAAAAUUUGGACUUACCAAUUAUGCACCAGCUUAUUGUACUGAACUGUUGGUAGCUAGAAGGCAUCAAAAGAUUUCCAGGUGAAUCUAAAUCUUUUAAUGCUAAGGUACAUUGAAAGCAUAUCUUUGAUCAAUACGUUGCAAAUUACAUGACGACAUUAAAACAGUAAGACGACGAAGUUUACAAGAAACAAUUCUCCCAGUAUAUUAAGAAUGGAAUUGUUACUAACAAUGUAAGUAAAUAAUAUAUA